GUGCUUGCUUUGGCAGCAUAUAUACUAAAAUUUGAAUGAAACAGAGAAAAUUAGCAUGGCCCUGCUUGCAAGGGUGACAUGUAAAUUCAUGAAGUGUUCCAUAUUAAA
rfam:Tupaia chinensis contig166688, whole genome shotgun sequence.